rnacentral:piRNA from 1 species
UAAUUUCCCAUUUUUUAGAUA